AACGAACGCUGGCGGCAUGCCUAACACAUGCAAGUCGAACGAACCCUUCGGGGUUAGUGGCGCACGGGUGCGUAACGCGUGGGAAUCUGCCCUUUGCUUCGGAAUAACAGUUAGAAAUGACUGCUAAUACCGGAUGAUGUCUUCGGACCAAAGAUUUAUCGGCAAGGGAUGGGCCCGCGUAGGAUUAGGUAGUUGGUGGGGUAAAGGCCUACCAAGCCGACGAUCCUUAGCUGGUCUGAGAGGAUGAUCAGCCACACUGGGACUGAGACACGGCCCAGACUCCUACGGGAGGCAGCAGUGGGGAAUAUUGGACAAUGGGCGCAAGCCUGAUCCAGCAAUGCCGCGUGAGUGAUGAAGGCCUUCGGGUCGUAAAGCUCUUUUACCAGGGAUGAUAAUGACAGUACCUGGAGAAUAAGCUCCGGCUAACUCCGUGCCAGCCGCCGCGGUAAGAC
rnacentral:rRNA from 1 species